UACGAAGGGGGCUAGCGUUGCUCGGAAUCACUGGGCGUAAAGCGCACGUAGGCGGCUUCUUAAGUCAGGGGUGAAAUCCUGGAGCUCAACUCCAGAACUGCCUUUGAUACUGAGGAGCUUGAGUCCGGGAGAGGUGAGUGGAACUGCGAGUGUAGAGGUGAAAUUCGUAGAUAUUCGCAAGAACACCAGUGGCGAAGGCGGCUCACUGGCCCGGAACUGACGCUGAGACGCGAGAGCGUGGGGAGCAAACAGG
rnacentral:rRNA from 1 species